rnacentral:lncRNA from 9 species
AUCAAGGCGGAAAGCAGGGGCGUGGGGGCCGCCCGAGCGCCGCCCACCCCCCAGCCCCGCUCCAUGGCCACCUGUUUGGGGCCUGGGAAGCGGAUGGAUCCCGUUAGGGAGAAGCUCGCAGACCGGGGGCUGCCUCCCCGCUCAGACACGGCUCACCUGCCCCCAGCUCCCCUAGGGUCUUUUUGGUU